GUUUUUGCCCCUUAAGCUCCAUUCUUAAGAUAGGAGAUGAUGUGUAGGAAUGGUUUCUGGCACAAUCUCUUAUCCGUCUAGUGGAUCCAGAGGAGAACAAUCGGGCUGACCCUUGUAGGCCACGUUGGGACCCUCCUCCGAUAGGUUGGGUUAAAUGCAAUGUUGGAGCGGUCUGGUCAGGGAAAAAAAAGCUUUGUGGUGGGUCUUGGGUCGUGAGAGAUGAUCGUGGUCAGGUUCUGCUUCACAGCCGUAGAGCCUUCGGGAAUCUUACAACUAAAAAGGACAGUCAGAUCACCUGUGUUCUUUGGGCCAUUGAGAGCAUGGCUAGUCAUAAAUUAUCGAAGGUUCUGUUUGCUUUCGAACCGGGAGACUUAUUGUUUGCUUUUGUUAGGCCGAAAGCGUGGCCUUCUUUUGCUUUACAGGUUUCAGAACUAACACAUUUUUUUGAAAAGAUUGGAGAUUGGAAAGUGGUGGAGGAAAAUGUGGUUUCAAACAAGGGGGCUUCUCUUAUAGCUCAAAGCGUGGUCAAGGAUGGAAGGCUACAAUCUUAUGUUGCAGUUGGUCAUCCGCUUUGGCUUCAUCAGUUCUUUGAGGGUGAGAGAAUCUUUCUUUAGGUCUUCUCUCCUUGUAUUUGGUUUGUUUUUUGGUCCCUCUCUAAUCUUUGGCUCUGUAGUUGAAUGGCACUUUCUAGUGUUUCAUUCUUAACCGUAACUGGUUUUUUUUAAAGAUUAUGUAUCCCAACUUUUAUAUAUAUCCUUUCAGUAAGAAAAAAAAAAAAAAAAGUAUAAUUAAUAUAGAUGGAAAGUUGGAAUGAUACUUUUGAAGUGUUUAACUGAAAAAGGAAGCUAGGUGCCUGCGCUUACUGACAAAUCAGUCUCCGUUUCUUGUGGCCCACGUAUUGUUCCACAUUAUU
rnacentral:sRNA from 1 species